UGCUUAAACACCAGUAGGUGAUUGAAAGCUCUUCCCUUUUGCUCCAAGAACACCAGACUUUCCAAAUUCCACUUUCCAUUCUUGGAACAUCAAACUUUCUUAUAAAGAUUAAAACUUUCAUUACCCCUUUGCCAUAAAACCUUUUGAAGCAAUGUCUAAUUUCUCUCUUUCUCCUUCACCUACUUCAGGUUUUAGCCUUAACCUCCAAAACCCUACUAAAACCUCACCUUAUCAUCAUCAACCUCUCUCUUUUUCCACCUCCAUUAAUAAUACCAUUUUUACCCCCUUAAAUUCCCACACAAAAACAUUCAAAGCUUUGCCCAAGAAUCUUUCCUUAACAUGUCGCCAUUCUGAUUAUUUUGAACCUCAACAGCAACAACAACUACAGUCACAUGGUAAACUCUGGGCAUCUUCGCCUAAGGUUUUUGUUGGAUACUCAAUAUACAAAGGGAAAGCAGCUCUCACCGUUGAGCCUCGGUCGCCAGAGUUCGCGCCUAUAAAUUCGGGGGCAUUCAAGCUGUCAAGAGAAGGUAUGGUGAUGCUUCAAUUUGCACCCGCUGCUGGUGUUCGUCAAUAUGAUUGGAGUAGAAAGCAGGUCUUCUCGUUGUCAGUGACUGAAAUGGGAUCUAUUAUCAGCCUUGGGGCAAAAGAUUCAUGUGAGUUCUUCCAUGAUCCAAACAAAGGAAGAAGUGAUGAAGGUAAAGUCAGGAAAGUGUUGAAGGUCGAGCCACUUCCAGAUGGCUCUGGUCACUUCUUUAAUCUCAGUGUUCAAAACAAGCUUAUUAAUUUGGAUGAGAACAUUUACAUCCCUGUUACAAAGGCAGAGUUUGCAGUUCUUGUCUCAGCAUUCAAUUUUGUUGUGCCAUACCUUUUAGGUUGGCACACUGCCGCAAAUUCCUUCAAGCCUGAAGAUACCAGUCGCUCAAAUAAUGCAAAUCCAAGAUCAGGCGCUGAACUCGAAUGGAAUAGAUAGGUUCUCGCGGGCUAGAGAACGUUGCCUCGACUAUGAUCGAGGGGCAAGAUGUUCUUUUGGCCCUCAGAUCGAAAUUUUGUAUGACCCACUCUGACUUGCGCCCUCCAGUGAUUUUGCAAAGGGUUUUAGAAGUUUCGGCGAUAGUUGUAUUAACUCUCUUAUGGAUUAUGUGCUAUUCCAGCUAGCCUUUUCAUAAUCACAAAAAGAGCAUAUGUCAGCUUGUCAAACAAGGGAGCUCUUUUAGCUGAUGUUUGCUUCAAGAAUGAGGCUCACACUGACCUCUGCAGAUCUUUUUUUGAAAGGUCCAAAGAAAUACUUGAGGAUUUUCCUGCUGCGUCACAUGUUAUAGUAGGUAGAGAAGUGCACAAAGACGAGUUAAAUUUUCCCGAGCUUGUAUUAUAAGAGAUGUUUGGCAUUAAAGGAAAAAAGCUUUAAGGCUCUA